rnacentral:lncRNA from 1 species
AGAAACAGGAGAGUUUAUGUCCUAUGGUUGAACUUAAGCAUCAGUCUCAUUCUCGCGUGAAGACUAUGGUUAUAUCUAUCACAAUUUUAGAGGGGAAUAAAAGACUCCAUCCUAUAUAUGUUUUUCCUCUACUAAUAUUUAUUCCUUACAAAGCCAACUGAGUGUACUAAGUUCUUUCUUUGUUUCUCGAGCGUCGGGCCUGUCCAUCUGCUCCUUUCUUUUUCUUAAAUAUUUCCUGCGUUUUGUAUUUUCCUCUUGUUUUAUCAAUAAAGUUUUUCAGUAGAGGUCUGUUCUUCUUUAAAAAAAGCUGAGUGUACUAAGCAUCACUCGGCUAAUACUGUUGAAAACAGAGUAAGAACAGACAUGUCCAUCUUAAUUUUGCUCAAACACACAAAGUAUAUUCAACACCGGCCUAGCAAAGUGCUGGCGUAAUCACUUUCAAAAAAAAAAGAAAAUAACACUACUGUGCCCUAAUCGUAUGUAAUACUUAAGGAUAAAAACGGAACGGAAAUAUCCCGAACCGAACCGAACCGCUUUCUAUAUUGGAUCC